CCGUCACAGAGGCCACUUGCAUACUGUACAAAGAUGCGCGGAGCAGUUAUAGGAUGUUUGAUGCUGGUGUAUGUUGUUGCUCUUCUGGCCAAGCAGGCAGAGGGACACAUCGCCUUCUUCAGCCCUAAAGAGAUGAGAGAGCUCAGGGAGAAGGAGGGAAGGAAGGAUGCUGAUCCACGAGCAGAGGGGGUUUUGAUUGA